AUACGUAGGUGGCAAGCGUUGUCCGGAUUUACUGGGCGUAAAGGAUGCGUAGGCGGAUUUUUAAGUGGGAUGUGAAAUACCCGAGCUCAACUUGGGUGCUGCAUUCCAAACUGGAAGUCUAGAGUGCGGGAGAGGAGAGUGGAAUUCCUAGUGUAGCGGUGAAAUGCGUAGAGAUUAGGAAGAACACCAGUGGCGAAGGCGACUCUCUGGACCGUAACUGACGCUGAGGCAUGAAAGCGUGGGGAGCAAACAGGAUUAGAUACCCUGGUAGUCCACGCCGUAAACGAUGGGUACUAGGUGUGGGAGGUAUCGACCCCUUCCGUGCCGCCGUUAACACAAUAAGUACCCCGCCUGGGGAGUACGGUCGCAAGAUUAAA
rnacentral:rRNA from 1 species